GCGGAAUGUGUCAUGUAGCGGUGAAAUGCUUAGAUAUGACACAGAACACCGAUCGCGAAGGCAGCUUACCAAGCAAUAACUGACGCUCAUGCACGAAAGCGUGGGGAUCAAACAGGAUUAGAUACCCUGGUAGUCCACGCCGUAAACGAUGAUCACUCGAUGUUGGCGAUACACAGUCAGCAUCUUAGGGAAACUAUUAAGUGAUCCACCUGGGGAGUACGGUCGCAAGAUUGAAACUCAAAGGAAUUGACGGGGGCCCGCACAAGCGGAGGAGCAUGUGGUUUAAUUCGAUGAUACGCGAGGAACCUUACCUGGGCUCGAACGUGGAAUGACAGUUGCGGAAACGUGAUUUUCUUCGGACAUUCUACGAGGUGCUGCAUGGUUGUCGUCAGCUCGUGCCGUGAGGUGUCGGGUUAAGUCCCAUAACGAGCGCAACCCCUAUCUUUAGUUGCCAUCAGGUCAAGCUGGGGACUCUAAAGAAACUGCCUACGCAAGUAGUGAGGAAGGCGGGGAUGACGUCAAAUCAGCACGGCCCUUACGUCCAGGGCUACACACGUGCUACAAUGGCCGGUACAGAGGGCAGCUACUGGGUGACCAGAUGCAAAUCUCCAAAGCCGGUCUCAGUUCGGAUCGAAGUCUGAAACUCGACUUCGUGAAGUUGGAUUCGCUAGUAAUCGCGCAUCAGCCAUGGCGCGGUGAAUACGUUCCCGGGCCUUGUACACACCGCCCGUCAAGCCAUGGAAGCUUGGGGUACCUGAAGUCCGUGACCGAAAGGAGCGGCCUAGGGUAAAACAGGUAACUAGGGCUA
rnacentral:rRNA from 1 species